AUUCCCACCGACUGUAAUUGCAGUUCCAAAUACACGAGUACGAGAUGUUCAACAGCUGCCCGGCAGCCAUUGACAAGACGCCUGUUAUGACAAGUGUCGUUUACAUUCGGAUCUCUACAGAAUAAACAAUGGUCGCCAUCCGACGCUCCUUCCUCCCAGACACCGUACAUUUGCACGACUCGUGUGAAUUUUAGACUAAGGACGAGCACAAUACCUAGAGGCUCGAAUCAUGUGUUAGACCUAAGAAACAAUAUCAAGAUCACCUUACUUUAUUAACUCUUAGGUUAGACUUGAACAUAGUAAUUUUUUAUCUCAAAUCUGGGAAUGAAGAAAGUCUUCCAUGUGAUAAGACAUACGGUUCUGCAAUAAUUAAUGGAAUGUGCAGCCUACUGUCUCAUUAUUAUUGUACUCCAUACCACAGUAUCUUGUUUUAGCACAACUUUUCUUGAGCAGGAGAAAUACUUUGCAGAAAGGAUUCCCAACAACAGAAUGUCCCUUCGAUAUGGUCACGAUCGACUUGUAAUGUACUGGUGUGUGGAACCAACAAGAGUUAUGAGAAAGCAUAUAUGUAAAACACUAUACAGUAUGUCUGUAAUCCUCUUAAAGAGAUUAUUUUACAACUUAUAUACUCAAUUAUAAGCUAUGCUUAUUGCAACCUGUAAGCUAUAUUUAAAAUUAUCAUUGAUAAGCAUGUAUCCAAGUUAGGAGGAUGCAUGAAUUUAUAACAUAUGCAGUUAGUAAUCUCCAAGCUUUGUAGAUCACACAAGAGAUUAUUUUUCAACUCGCAUGCUUUGUAGUAAACAUUCCAAUGCAAACUACAGUACUAACAAGUUUUAUGUAUGGCAUGUGGAAACAUUCCCAUUGGAGGCACGACACUUUUUUAUAUUGGACAAACAAACUUUGCCAAUCUAUCAUCUUUAUUCUAUCUUUGUGAUACCAACCAAACUAAUUAGGUUAUCAAUGUUCUAGUACUUUGUCACAGACAUGACAAUUUAGAAAGGCACUGCAAGAAAGUCUCAUCACUCUCGACCACCAGCUACAUACUAUAAAGGAUCCAGAUUUCUCAGCUUAGCUAAAGUAGACAGGUAACAGCCGUUUAGCGAUCGUUCACUUACCAAUUUAAAUUUUAACACCUUUGAUUCAAAGAUCUGCAAUUGUUCGGUUUAGCUAUCAACUCCCUGGAAAAAAUUCAGGAGGGAAGAUGAAAAAUAAUCCUUGAUAAUAAAAUGGUAGAUUCUAGUAACUAUUCGGUUGAAGAACUUGUAUGAGUGAGGGUUUACUUGCCAUAACAGGAUAUACUAUUGCUGAAAUUCAUCAUGGAAAACUUUCAUCUCUAGGAACAUAACCCCCAUGUAAAUUGGCAACCUGCUUUAUUAACAAGUUCCAGCCAAUUGAUAGACCUAGUGUUGUGGGUGGUAUGUUAAUACAGUUGUUGAUUUUAUUAAUUUUUGUUUGUUACAGUAAACUGUCCAGUCAAUUGUCCGAUGCAUCUUGGCAUUCAUAAAUCCAGCACACCCACAGCCCUAACCAUGGCAUAAGUACAGAACUGCACUGUUAUGCAUUUGUGAAAAUUGCUCACUUAAAAUGAAAUGAGAAUUCCUGAAUA
rnacentral:lncRNA from 1 species